CUUAUCAAGAGUGGCGGAGGGAUCGGCCCGAUGAAGCCACGGCAACCUGCGAAGCAAGGUGCCAAAUCCGGCGUAUGCUGAGUGCGGAAGUGA
rnacentral:ncRNA from 1 species